CCUUGGUACAUUGAGGAAGUAAAAGUCGUAACAAGGUCUCCGUUGGUGAACCAGCGGAGGGAUCAUUGCUGGAACGCGCCCUAGGCGCACCCAGAAACCCUUUGUGAACUUAUACCUUACUGUUGCCUCGGCGCAUGCUGGCCCCCUCGGGGCCCCCUGGAGACAGGGAGCAGGCACGCCGGCGGCCAAGUUAACUCUUGUUUUUACACUGAAACUCUGAGAAAAAAACACAAAUGAAUCAAAACUUUCAACAACGGAUCUCUUGGUUCUGGCAUCGAUGAAGAACGCAGCGAAAUGCGAUAAGUAAUGUGAAUUGCAGAAUUCAGUGAAUCAUCGAAUCUUUGAACGCACAUUGCGCCCUCUGGUAUUCCGGAGGGCAUGCCUGUUCGAGCGUCAUUUCAACCCUCAAGCAUUGCUUGGUGUUGGGGCACUGCCUGUAAAAGGGCAGGCCCUGAAAUCUAGUGGCGAGCUCGCCAGGACCCCGAGCGCAGUAGUUAAACCCUCGCUCUGGAAGGCCCUGGCGGUGCCCCGCCGUUAAACCCCCAACUUCUGGAAAUUGACCUCAAUCAGGAGAUCAAA
rnacentral:rRNA from 1 species